rnacentral:rRNA from 1 species
UACGUAGGGGGCAAGCGUUGUCCGGAAUCAUUGGGCGUAAAGCGCGCGUAGGCGGCCCGGUAAGUCCGCUGUGAAAGUCCAGGGCUCAACCCUGGAAAGCCGGUGGAUACUGCCGGGCUAGAGUCCGGAAGAGGCGAGUGGAAUUCCUGGUGUAGCGGUGAAAUGCGCAGAUAUCAGGAGGAACACCAAUUGCGAAGGCAGCUCGCUGGGACGUAACUGACGCUGAGACGCGAAAGCGUGGGGAGCAAACAGG